ACCAGGUGGUUCCAGCCUGGCCAGCCUGCCCAGGAGGCCAGCAUGUUGCAGGAGCUGGUGUGGGUUUGUUGCUGAGUCCUUGGGAGCACACAGGAGGCCGCCUUUCCCAGUAAGGGUGGCAAGGGAAGGCCCAUCCGGAGACCCAGAGGAGGAAAAGUGAGGAUGGAAGGCUGGACCCAUGCAGCGUCACAUGCCAAUGGCUCCAGGCCAGGACACAGAAGCUGGAGAGAGAUGGGCAAAGAGAGAGAAAGGAGGACCAACUAUCAUCCAGAUGCAGCCAAGGUGGGCACCACUCCUUUCAAGGGUACUUCCUCUCCUGGGACCUUGAUUCCCCAGCAGAAGCAUGCAAGCAGUGAGCAAAUGUUUGGACUUCAGCCUCCUCCACCCGUGACUCUGGGAGAAGCUCCGAUGUGACCUGGCUCUCCAGGCCCACCACCGCCCAGGGCUCCCGUGUGCCUUCCAGCCGGAGCUGGUGGUGUGCCUGGGCCUGCAGCCCUUAGGUGCCUCAGUGGUGAGGAAGGUGUGUGGGCCUCCACUCUUGGGAACUUGCUCAUGAAGCAGUCUGAUUCCUCUGAGUCUAGGAAUUUAAUUUUUUUGUAUUAAUUUCUUAUUUUCAUUAAGUAAUAUAUGUAUAU